UUUUUAUUUUUUUUUAUUUGUUUAAAUUCUAAAAUUAUUAUUUUAAAAUUCUCUUUUAUAUUAUAUUGUUUUAAAAUUUUGGAUAAUAUUUAUUUUAAAUUACCUUUAUAUUAUAUAUAUAUGUAUAUCUUAUGUUAAAAUUAGCUUUAUUCUAUGUACAUUAUCAAUUCCAUGUUGUUUUAUGUGUAUAUAUAUAUGUAUUUUUAUUUUGUUAACAAAAUCUAUUUUUGUAUAUAUAUUUCUUUUCAAAUCUAUAAUGUAUAUAGUUCUUUCCUUAAAAAAUAUUUUAUUGUAUAUCUUCAUUAUUUAAAAUCCUUUCAUAUAUAUUUUUUUUUACAUAUUUUUAAUUUUUUUUCCAUUAUAUGUAUGCCAUCAACUUUAAAUAGAUGUUUUGUUUUUAAAAUAUUGUGUACAUUAUUUACUCAAGACUUUUUUUUCCAUAAUAGCUAUUUGAAUAAUCAUUCAUAUAUUAGUAGUUUUUUACAUGUAAAUCAUUUCAAAAUCUAGCAUGUGUAGUUCAUUCGUAAAUUUUCAUAUGUUUGAUAGUUUAUAAAUUGUUUUAUAUUACAUUGACUCCUGAUUUUUAUAUUGUUUUGUAUGUUAUGUGUUGUUUUAGUUUUCAUAUUAUUUCACGUAUUAUUGUUUCAUAUUGUUUGUUAGUCUUUUGUACUAUUAUUUUAAUUUUUGUUCAUCUAUGUUCGAAACUUGUUAUAUUUUAUUCUAAUUUGUUUCUUGGAUGUGAGCUCAUUACUAUUGUGUGUAUGUUAAUUUGUUCUUUUUUGUUCACUUGUAUAAUAUUUCAUCUAUGUAUAUUGUUCCAUGUUUGUAACUUUGAUUUUUCUAUAUUACUGUAUUGUGAUUCAAAUUUCAAUGUUUUGAUUGAUAUUGGUCGUAUCAUUUUUAUUUCAAGUGAAUCAACUAAUGCGUUUUGAACCGGCUUUGUAAUUGUUUACGUGAAAAUUUCCCAAAACAAAGGUAAUGUUUGACGUUUGGAAAUUCGGGAAAUCGUGCCCUAAUGUGCCGGGUUUCAAUUUUUUCGUUUGUCCAAAAUAAUAAAAUAUCCCUUUAAAAUUUUAUCUGUGUUUUCUAAAUUUUAAAACAAGGCAAUGUUUUAUGUUGGGAAAUCCGAGAAAUCGUGCCCUAACGUGUUGGGUUUCGAUUUUUUCGUUGGACCAAAUAAUCGAAUAUCCUUUUGUAAUUUUCAAAUGUAUGAGCAUCAAGAAUUGAUAGUUUCGAGGGUAUAAAGGAUCGUGUCCUAACGUGCUGGAUGUGAUACUGUAUUCCUUCGAAACAAGAGAAUUUGAACGUCCAAUUUGAGUCAUUCAAAUGUUUUAAAAGAAAUUGUAUUUCAAAAUAUUUUUCUAAAAUUUUAUACAUAAAGACAUUAUUUAAUCAAUUUGGUACCAAUUUUGGGCGUAACGAGGGUGCUAACCCUUCCUCGUACGUAACCGACUCCCGAACCCGUCUUCUCAAAUUUCAUAGGCCAAAAUUGAUAUUUUAAUCAAAUGAUUUUAUUAGGUGAUCCGAUCACACCUAAACAAAAAGGAUUGGUGGUGACUCCAUAUUUCGUUUUAAAAAGUCGAUUCCUGUUUUUCAAAAAAAUGGUUUCGACAGCUUGGCGACUCCACUGGGGACCAAUAAGAAAAUCAAACCAUAAAAUUGAUUAUUUUCUGUCCUUUUGUCGAAAAUUGAAAAAUUGAUUUGAAAAAUCAUGAUUCUUUUGUCGUAUUUGUUUGUGAUCACCAUGAUUGUUGUUGUUUGAGUAUCAUAGAAUACUCUUGGAUUGCAUUGCAUGACCGUUGUGGUCACACAUUUUAAGUGGAAGUGAGAAACUACGCCCUCGUGAGGUUUUCACCUCCGCAUGGGCUAGUGGAUUACUUCCGGGAUACAUCCGUACCUAUGUCUUCGUGAGAUUUUCAUCUCUGCAUGGCCAUAGGGAAAUGUAUUCCCCUGAACUUAACUCGAUCCAUAUGAGCCUAUAAUGGGUGAAGAUUGAAAAAUCUGCUAGUUCAGGUACCCUUUCUCUAGAAUCGAGCCACAUAUAGUGAACCUUGAGAGUCCACCUUAGGUAGAACCUUGCCCAGUUUUAGUGGUCACCCGAAUAGGUACUUUAUUUGUUAUUUAUUUUUUCUGUACUAACGCGUUUUGUUUUUGUUUUGUUUCUAAUUUCAUUGCAUUACAUCACCAUAGAGAUGAGGUGUUGAUUCAUAUUUGAUUGCUAAAUAGAACAGUUUGUCAUAAGAAAACGAAUUUCUUGAUAAAGUGGAUUAUAAUACGGUUGUCUGAUUAUGAUCCAGGUAAACACAACGGAAGAAGGAUGAUAGUUCGCAGAGGAAAAACAAGACUUUACCUGAGGAUUUAAGUCGAUAAAGAUUAUUCGAGAGCCGUCACAUCUCGACUUUCUUAAAGGAGCUAACAAGCAUUGCGAGGAUAAGUGAGUAAUAAGUCGCGGCUUAGAUUAAACAAAAAUGAGCUAGUGGAGGCAUCUAUUGGAGGUUUGUGUGGUUCAACUUUUACAGAAAAGGGAUUGCCUGGAAUAUGAGGGCAAAGUCGCAUAUGUAAUCCUUUUUACGUAAAGGAAUUUGUUUUCUAGAAAAGUUGUUCUAAUAUAAUUGAAUUCAGAAUCAACGCCUUACUUUCUUUUGCAUUCAUUCUAUGCAUUUGCAUUGCAUUGCAUCAUGUGCAUUAAAAUUAACAAAAGAGCCUUAAUUAAUUAGAAAUCGUGUUAUAGUUACCCUGGAACAUCACUACUACACACGGAGAAGAACUAGAGUUAUAGAUCAAAAGCUGGAAAAACUGGAACAAAUGCAGAAAGAAAUGCAAGAUCGGCUGCAAGCACAGAUGCAAGAGCAAUUGGCUAAGAUUCAGCAGGAUAUGAAAGAUCAGAUGCUAGAAUCAUAGAAGAACAUGAUGAAUCAAUUAACCCAGUUACUGCUUAGAGGGCUAGGAAAAGGGAAGAGCCCUAUGGUCAACCCCGGGGAUGACAAUGAGGACCUUGUCUACUCACUGAGUUUUGCCCUAACAAACACCCCAGUGCAGCCCAACGCAUAUCCACUAAGGAUGUUUGUCAAUAUCAGUCCUCAGCAUCAAGCCAGCAUUUCAGCAUUAAUGCACUUUCCGACAGGCUCAGGCGCCAGAGACAAUCCGGCAAAUCUCGGUGUCCCUGAUUUGUAUGACAUGGCAGAGGUAGAAAAGGCAAAAUGAGAACUCCCAAAGUAGCUGGAAGAUCGAUACAAAUAGCUGGAAGAGAAGUUCAAGGCGUUGGAAAGCGCUGAUUAUCAGUGUGGUAUGGAUGCUAAAGAGUUAAGUUUGGUUCCGGAUCUAAUACUCCCUCCGAAGUUUAAAAUGUCAGAGUUUGAGAAAUACAACGGAACCAACUGCCUUGAGGCCCACAUCACGAUGUUUUGUCGGAGGAUGACUGGUCAUGUCAAUAAUGAUCAGUUUUUAGUUCACUGUUUCCAGGAUAGUUUGACUAGGGCAGCGACCAAAUGGUACAAUUAGCUGAAUCGCACCCAAAUUAAAUCAUGGAAGGACUUAGCACUGGUCUUUAUGAAGCAGUAUGGCCAUGUGACGGACAUAGCGCCUAACAAGAUCACGUUACAGAAUAUGGAGAAAAAGUCGAGUGAAUGUUUCAGGCAAUAUGCCCAGAGGUGGAGGGAAGUUGCUACACAAGUCCAACCAUCACUGCUGGAAAAAGAAACAACAAUGCUCUUCAUUAAUACUUUGAAAGCAUCCUUCAUUAAUCACAUGCUGGGCAGUGCAACUAAGAGUUUCACGGACAUAGUGAUGCCCAGUGAAAUGAUAGAGAAUGCGAUAAGGUACGGAAAGAUAGAGGCUGGGGAAAGCACCAAGAGGUCAGCCCCAAAGAAGAGAGAAAAUGAGGUUAGCAAUGUGAGUGUAGGUUAUGCAAAACCAAUCACGAUAAAACAACCGAAAAUGGUGGUUACGAGCCAGCAAGCUUCACUAAGGCAAGAGCCCAAUACAAAGUAAAGCAUGGAGAAGCUUCAGUUUACUCCUAUUCCAAUAACGUACCGAGAGCUAUACAAAAGUCUAUUUGAUGUGCACGUUGUAUCCCCUGUCUACUUAAAACCGUUGUAGCCCCCAUAUCCCAAAUGGUAUGAUGCUAGUACUCAAUGUAAAUACCAUGCGGGAAUAGCGGACCACUCGAUAGAGAAUUGCUUCUCUUUUAAAAAGUUGGUCGAAAGGUUCAUUGAAAUGGGAAUUGUGAAGUUCGACGAUUCCUCAGAACCUAAUCGCUCUAACAAUAGAGUAAAUACGAUAUUUGAAAGUAGGGGCAAAAGGGUUGCGAUGCCUUGAACAAGUCAGAAGGGGAAGUAACAUUGAGGAAUCUGAAUGACAUAUCUAAAGAGAGAAUCGGGGAAUAAAAAUUUCCAAAUCCUUGCAUACUUGGGAGUGUUUUGAACAAUGAGACUGUGGAAGAAAUCCCUGUAUUUUUAGAGCUAAUCUAGAGUAAUAUUCAAAACACGCUUGUUGCUUUAGGCCUAGAGGCAAUAAGAAUCCUUUUGUGACAUGGGCUUGUGUCCAGAAUUUUUAUUUCAAUAAAAUGUAUAUUUUUGAGUAAAUAUUUUUUCAUUCUUUCCAUUUCAUAGUAUACAUUCUUUUGUUCUUUGGACUAUCUUUUAAAUAUUCUUUUAUUCUUUAUUUAUGAUCGUAUUAUAUAAAUAAUCAUCCUUAGAAUCAUUUAUUCUUUAGAAAUAUGCCUUUGUAUCUACAAUAGGUCCUCAGAUAUCAACGAAAUGAGCAACGCUGUAACUGAAUCCCUUUUGGGGUAAGAUAUGUGUUUAAGCGGAUCUCAGGACUUUGAAGAUGGCAGAGAUUGUAACUUAUCUCUUAAUUGGUUAAGGAUGAUAGAAUAAGAUGAAAAACAGAUCCUACUUUACAAAGGGUCAGUAGACAUUGUGAGCAAGAAGUAAAGAUCGGAGCUUGAGUCACUACGAAAACAAAGCGAAUCGUCAUUGAGUUACUCUAAGAAUUCAAAGAUGUUUUCAUAUAAUCAUGACAGGAUAUGCCUGCGCUACUAAGACUUGUGGAUGCUAAAAAAGGUCCAUACUGGUGUUAGAAGGACACAUGCUAAUGAUUUCCAAGUUAAUCAUGAGGUUCGGUUACUGCUAAUCCACCAAGGAAAGGGAUUGUAUUAGUUAUGCCGUAAAUGACAAAUGAAGGAAUACAAGACUUAUGUGACACCUCCAUUUCUUCACAGAUUUUCUAUAUGUGGGGCAUGGAUGUUGUCAGGCCGUUCUCGUCUAAUAUACACUGACUCAUCUUGGUAGUCGUCGAUGUCUUCACGAAGAGGGUGAAGGUCGCUUUAUAUGCCAAUGUUACAAGGUCGAUAGUCAUAAAAAAAGGGUGUCGAUAGGUUAUAUCGAAAAAAAUCUUGUCUAAUACAACUGCACAAUGUCAAAAGAUUGCAAUCUGUUCAAAGAUCAAACACCAUAUCACAGUGCAGCAAAGGCAGCCAAAAAGAAAGAAACAAAAAAAAUAACAAAAAAAAGAUUGUGAAAGGUGAUUGAGACUUGUAAAGAUUGAUAUAAAAAAGUUACCGUUUACCCUCUAUACUUAUCAAACGUCGGCUAAGACCUCCAUCGGAGCAACGCCUUUCUCAUUAGUUUGUGGAAUGGAAAAGUUUUUUCCAUUAUCUAUUUUCUCUGAGUCCUACCAGAACUAAAGGUUGGAUGAGGUAGAAUGGAUACAAUCCCGAUAUGAUCAGUCGAAUUUGAAAGAUAUCCAUCACGGUCAGAUAAUGCAGGCUUGCGACAAAGGGGUUCAUCUUAGAAAAUUAGGGACCUGAUAUUGAAGAAGAUCCUUUCUAUACAAAAGGACUUUAGAGGAAAGUGGAUGUCGAACUAGGAAGGACCUUAUGUAGUACAAAAGGCCUGUUCUGAAGGAGCAUUGAUAUUGUCUGAGAUGGAUGGCAAGGACCUGCCCAAUUCAGUGAACUCAGAUUCAGUCACAGUUAAUAGUUUAAAAAAACACAGAAAAGAAGAGAAAAGAAAACAGGAGAGGCCAAGGCAAAAACCCGCAAAGGCGCCUUAAGACCAAAUGGGAUUUGAGUUGAAAACAUAAAAAGGGCGGCUUAAAUUUGGAUCAAAGUGGGGCAUACAAUAGUCUUGCUAUGUCUGAAUUAACAAUGAAGAAGUAUGCCACAUCUUGGGGCAUCGACAAAGUACUCCGAAUUCCUUAAACACAAAUUGAGCUCAAAAUGGUCCUCAAGAAGUUGGUACAAAGAAGCUCAAGCUGCGAUAUCUGGGGCAUCUAGUUUUCCAUUUUUACCCAUUUUAAAUUUUCUAUCUUUGAUUACCUUAUUCUUUUCAAGAUACGCCUCAACAAAUUUUCUUCUUAUUACGUUUGCUAUCUUUUGAUUAACAUACAUAUUUGUUGCGAGCUAUGCUCCCAAUUAUUUUCUCUUUUAUCCAUUGUUAUGAUAUUUUUCAAGCAUUUUGCAUUGAAAUAAUAAUUAAUGGACUAAUAAUACCUUCACAAAAAAGGUUCUGCAUAUUACUCUAGAAGCUUCUAAAUAAUACAAGAACCUGAAACAGAACUAUUGUUUAGAACUUACCAAACUUAAGGGUUGGAAAGAGGAGUCUAAAUUGUGACUAUCUCUUUAGAUUUUUUUUAUCAAAAGUAUCAAAUACAAGAUAUUGCAUCGAUGAUACAACCUCAAUGAAUGACGAGCAAUGUUCGGCCAAGCAUUAGAUGGGAUCAGCUCGAAAAAAAAUGGAUAUUUUGCAUACGCAUCUGGUUAUGUUAACUAGAGAUGGGUGUAGCAGAUCAUUUGAUUGAAGAAGAUGGUACGAAUCCUAUACCUCUAAGUUGCAGCAGGAUGGAUAGAAGAAACCAAAUGUUAUUCCCCUAAAGUUGCAGUGGGAAGUACAAACUUUAUAUCCCAGAAGGUACAGUGGAAGGGACUUUGAAACUACAGUGGGGCAAGCUUGCUGAGCAGAAUAGGAUUAUUUCUUUGGGUUUUUUUGUCAAGAAUACUAGCCAAACAAGAUGGCAGUGUAAUACGUCAGUGAUAAGGCCCCGAUGAACAACGAGCAAUGCUACAUUAAGCCUUUUAAAAAGGAUCAUUUACAUUUUUGCAUUCAUAUAUCAUUCAUGACACAUCUAGUUAGGAGCAUUGGAUUCAUUUCAAUCAUAGCAUCCUAAUUAUUUGACAUAGGCAUCACAUCUAGUUAACAGCAUUUGAUUCAUUUCGAUCAUAGUAUCCUAAUUAUUUAGCAUAAGCAUAGAUACAUGAAACCAAUUCUAUAGGUCAUGUCCCUAGAGGACAAUGUAGCAACAUCAAAAAAUUCAUGAGCCUUAAUCCCCUAAGCAGUAGGGCAACAGGCUAAAAAUUACAAAUCUUAUCUCCUUAAGCAGUAGUGGAGCAGAUCGAGGACGGUGAGCCUUAACCCCCUAAGCAGUAGGGAAACAGGCUGAAAAUUACAGAUCUUAUCUCCCUAAGCAGUAGUGGAGCGGAUCGAAGACGGUGAGCCUUAUCCUCCUAAGCAAUAGGGAAACAGGCUGGAAAUUACAGAUCUUAUCUCCUUAAGCAGUAGUGGAGCGGAUCGAAGACUAGCCUUAUCCCCUUAAGUAGUAAGGAAAUGGGCUGAAGAUUACAAAUCAUAUCUUUCUAAGCAAUAGCGGAGCAGAUUGAAACGAAAAGUUCUUAUACUCCUAAAGACGCAAUGGGUUAAAGCGAGGCUACCUGAAGAAAGAGAGCAUCAAGAAGUCAAGACUCAGCAAGACCGGGUAAAAUUGGCUUUUUUAAAGUCUUUGCUCCAUUCCCGUUACACGACAAUGAGCAAAGAGGGGCAGCUGUAGGUCCCAAUUUUCUCCUAGGCCUAACAAACCAAAUAAACCAAAAAAACAAAUACCCAAUUUUAGCCUAUUAGAACCCAAACAUAGCCAUUAACCUAUUACAAUAAAACAAAGCCCAAAUUUUUAAAAAAAAAAACCUAGCCCAUAAAAUUUUUUCAGUAAAGAGGGAAACCCUAGAUUUGCUGCCUCCCUUCAGCCACUAUGUGCCCACAUUCAACAGCCACUACCCAUGUUCUCCACCACCACGCACCACGCACCUACGGACCAUGUCUAAGCCAUGUCCGCCAUACCUGCAAGUGUGCACAAAAAUAGUUGUAAAUGGCUAUAUAAAGCCACAAAUAUGUAAUGUUUUUUUGGUUACGGAGAAUACAAAAUACACACAAAAAUCAAUUGCAAAGAAACAAGUGUAAAAGGAAACUUAAGAGGUGAUUUUCGAUUGAUCUUGUUUGUUGACCUUGUUAGUUAUUUUGAUGUGCAAAGAAUAAUCAAAAGAAGAAGAACAUGAGAGCACUUACCAAACCUCCAUGGGCUUCGUCGGAGUUCUCCUCCAUUGGCAGAAUCAGCCAUCAUCUGCGCACUGUCGGCAACCGUAUAGUGGUGGUCUGGUGGUUGCACAUUUUUAGUCUGAAACCCUAGCAGAAAGGGUUUAAAAACUUUGGGUUUUCUAAAAGGCUUUUUUAAUGUUUUAAAAAAAAAGAAACAAAAUAAAGGUUUUAUUUAAUUUUAAAGCAACAUUUGGGGGGGGGGGGGAGAUAGCCCGCGUGUUGACCAUAUGGAUCCGCGCAUUUACCCCUUAAAUGAGUAAUUUGUGCGUUCAGUCGUUCCCCUUCGCGCCAGCUUUAAAUUAGCCCCUAUUUGCAUUUUAUUUGUUUUUUAAAUUUACCCUGGAGUUUGCGCACCAUUCCAAUUUAGUCCGCGCCUGAGUGCUGUUUUUUGGGGUUGGAAACAUUUGCAUUUUUAGCCCUUGUACAUUCGCGUGCAUUGCAUUUUGGUCCUUAUGUCAGUUUCAAUGAUUUAUUUUAUUUAUUAAUUAUCUCUGUUAGUUUAAUUUUAUUUCAAUUAAGUUUUCUUUUCAUUUCAAUAUGUGUAAUUCAUUAUUUUUUUUUAAAAAAAUUCAUUUAUUAUUCGUCUUUAAAAUUUUAUUUAAAUAUAUAUUUGGAAUUACUUUAAUAAUUUUACUUUUUUAUUUUUUAUUUAUUUGUUUAAAUUCUAAAAUUAUUAUUUUAAAAUUCUCUUUUAUAUUAUUUUGUUUUAAAAUUUUGGAUAAUAUUUAUUUUAAAUUACCUUUAUAUUAUAUAUAUAUAUAUAUAUUAUGUUAAAAUUAGCUUUAUUCUAUGUACAUUAUCAAUUCCAUGUUGUUUUAUGUGUAUAUAUAUAUGUAUUUUUAUUUUGUUAACAAAAUCUAUUUAGGUAUAUAUAUUUCUUUUCAAAUCUAUUAUGUAUAUAGUUCAUUCCUUAAAAAAUAUUUUAUUGUAUAUCUUCAUUAUUUAAAAUCCUUUCAUAUAUAUUUUUUUUUACAUAUUUUUAAUUUUUUUCCAUUAUAUGUAUACCAUCAACUUUAAAUAGAUGUUUUGUUUUUAAAAUAUUGUGUACAUUAUUUACUCAAGAUUUUUUUUCCAUAAUAGCUAUUUGAAUAAUCAUUCAUAUAUUAGUAGUUUUUUACAUGUAAAUCAUUUCAAAAUCUAGCAUGUGUAGUUCAUUCGUAAAUUUUCAUAUGUUUGAUAGUUUAUAAAUUGUUUUAUAUUACAUUGACUCCUGAUUUUUAUAUUGUUUUGUAUGUUAUGUGUUGUUUUAGUUUUCAUAUUAUUUCACGUAUUAUUAUUUCAUAUUGUUUAUUAGUCUUUUGUACUAUUAUUUUAAUUUUUGUUCAUCUAUGUUCGAAACUUGUUAUAUUUUAUUCUAAUUUGUUUCUUGGAUGUGAGCUCAUUGCUAUUGUGUGUAUGUUAAUUUGUUCUUUUUUGUUCACUUGUAUAAUAUUUCAUCUAUGUAUAUUGUUCCAUGUUUGUAACUUUGAUUUUUUUAUAUUAUUGCAUCGUGAUUCAAAUUUCAAUGUUUUGAUUGAUAUUGGUCUUCUCGUUUUUAUUUCAAGUGAAUCAACUAAUGCGUUUUGAACCAGCUUUAUAAUUGUUUACCUGAAAAUUUCCCAAAACGAAGGCAAUGUUUGAUGUUUGAAAAUUCGGGAAAUCGUGCCCUAACGUGCUGAGUUUCAAUUUUUCCAUUUUUCCAAAAUAAUCAAAUAUCCUUUUAAAAUUUCAUCCGUGUUUUCUAAAUUUUAAAACAAGGCAAUGUUCUAUGUUUGGAAAUCCGAGAAAUCGUGCCCUAACGUGUUGGGUUUCGGUUUUUUCGUUGGACCAAAUAAUCGAAUAUCCUUUUGUAAUUUUCAAAUGUAUGAGCAUCAAGAAUUGAUCGUGGUUUCGAGGGUAUAAAGGAUCGUGUCCUAACGUGUUGGAUGUGAUACUGUAUUCCUUCGAAACAAAAGAAUUUUAACGUCCAAUUUGAGUCAUUCAAAUGUUUUAAAAGAAAUUGUAUUUCAAAAUAUUUUUUAAAAAAUUUAUGACAUAAGGACAUUAUUUAAUCAAUUUGGUACCAAUUUUGGGCGUAACGGGGGUGCUAACCCUUCCUCGUACGUAACCGACUCCCAAACCCAUCUUCUCAAAUUUUGUAGGCCAAAAUUGAUAUUUUAAUAAAAUUUUUUAUUAGGUGAUCCGAUCACACCUAAACAAAAAAGAUUGAUGGCGACUCCAUAUUUCGUUUUAAAAAGUCGAUUUCCGUUUUUGAAAAAAAUGGUUUCGACAAAACUCUUUAAAAAUAAUUUAUAAACAAUUCAAAAUAUAUAAGGUGUAAAAAGAAUUUCAAAUACAUAAUAUAUGAAAACAUUAAAAUAAAUAAGGUAUAAAAAUUUAAAAUGAGUCGUUAUAUAAAAAGUUAAAAUAGAUAAUAACAAAAAUGUAAAAAUAAAAAAUAAAAAAAUAACAUUUUAAACAUUUUAAACCAAAUUAUAUAUAUACAUAUUUAAAAUAGAUAAAAUAUAUAUGAAUUUCAAAUAAAUAAUAUAUAUAAAAAUAUUUAAUGAAUGAUAUGAAAAACAAAUUAAAAAAAAUAACAAAUAGAAAGUAUAAAAGAGGUUCAAAAUAAAUAGUAAAAAAAAUGAUGUACACAAAAGUUUAAAAAUAAACAGCGUAUAAAAGUUUAUAAUAAUAAAAAAAUAAAAAAUAAAAACAUAUAUUUAAAAUAAAUAAAUAAAGCUACGUCAAAUAAGUAAUGUAUAUAAAAUAAAUCAAAUAAAAUAUAUUAAAUCAAAUUUUUUUUAAGAAAAAAUGAAUAAUAUAAAAUAAUUUACAAUAAUGAAUAAUAUAAAACAAGGAUAAUAAAUAACUUAAAAUAAAAAAAUUUACAAAAAUCGAAAUUUAAAAGAAAAAGGACUCAAAGGAAACAAAAACAAAAUCAAAAAGAUAUUUCCUAAAUAAAUAAACCAUUAAAACAGAAUUAAGGACUAAAAUAUAAUGCGCGCAAACAAGGGAGGAUUUAAAAAGAAAAUAUUCCCAAUUACCAAAACGCAGUGUUUAAUCGCGGAUUAAAACAAAACUGACACGAAAUUCCUGGGAAAAAUUAAAAAAUAAAAGGGAAUGAAUAUGGGCCUAAUCAAAUAGCAACGCAAAUGGGAGGGACUAACUGCGCAAAUAGCCCCUUUCAACAAAACAUGCGGAUCCUCCAUGGUAUCGGAUCGGGUCGCGCAGGUCAAGCCAAAUGGCGCCGUUUUGAUGCUUAUUACCCUAAGCCAAAACGACGUCGUUUUGGUAUUACUAUAUAAGCCAAUGUUUUGUCCAAAAAAUCAUUUGAGCCUUUAUUUUUUUUUAAAAAAAAAAAACCUCAAACCCUCUCAUCAGCUUCUCUUCAACCUCUCCUCCUCCGGCCAAGACUCCGGCGACGGACCACCGCACGCGCCGCCGUCGCCGAAAAAAGGUAAGUUUUUGUUAAAAAAAGAAACAACUAUAUAUAUAAUAGAUUCGAAAGGAAAAAAAAUGAAGAAAAUAAAAUAAAAUAAGACUAAAAGAAUACCCUUGGCCUUUAGAUCUUGCUUCUUGCCUGCUGUUUUUAAACUAUUUGGUGAGUUUUGAACCCGUUUUUUGUAUUCGAAAAAGUAUUCUCGUAUUGCUUUGUAUUCAUGUAAAAAACAUUGUUAUUCGUAGCCUUAUAUAGCCGAAUUACAACUGAAUAUCCGGCCUUUUGCAGGUGCGUAGGUAGACACGCUACUGACGUGGCAUGGUGGAGCGGCGCACGUCACGGAGUAACGUGCGGCGCGCGAGGGAGGCAUGGGGCGUGCGGCAGCUGAAACCCUUAGAUAACUUAGGGUAUUUUUGUUUGUUUGGUUUGGGCUUUUAGAGUUUGGGUUGUUUUGGGCCUAGGUUUGGUUUUAAUUUUAGUGGUUUGGGUUUUUAGUUUGUAUUUAGUUUUUUAAUUUUUGGUGAUUUGAGCCGGACAAUUUUGACCCAUUACAUAUAUAUUUAAUUUACUUUUAUCAAAAUAAUUAGAAAUUCAAAAGCAU
rnacentral:lncRNA from 1 species